UUGGUGCGUUUACUAACCUUUAGGGAGU
rnacentral:piRNA from 1 species